GAUGAACGCUGGCGGCGUGCCUAAUACAUGCAAGUCGAGCGAAUGGAUUAAGAGCUUGCUCUUAUGAAGUUAGCGGCGGACGGGUGAGUAACACGUGGGUAACCUGCCCAUAAGACUAGGAUAACUCCGGGAAACCGGGGCUAAUACCGGAUAACAUUUUGAACCGCAUGGUUCGAAAUUGAAAGGCGGCUCCGGCUGUCACUUAUGGAUGGACCCGCGUCGCAUUAGCUAGUUGGUGAGGUAACGGCUCACCAAGGCAACGAUGCGUAGCCGACCUGAGAGGGUGAUCGGCCACACUGGGACUGAGACACGGCCCAGACUCCUACGGGAAGCAGCAGUAGGGAAUCUUCCGCAAUGGACGAAAGUCUGACGGAGCAACGCCGCGUGAGUGAUGAAGGCUUUCGGGUCGUAAAACUCUGUUGUUAGGGAAGAACAAGUGCUAGUUGAAUAAGCUGACACCUUGACGGUACCUAACCAGAAAGCCACGGUUAACUACGUGCCAGCAGCCGCGGUAA
rnacentral:rRNA from 1 species